rnacentral:rRNA from 1 species
GACGAACGCUGGCGGCGUGCUUAACACAUGCAAGUCGAACGAAGUGGCGAACGGGUGAGUAAUUCGGGGGUAACCUGCCCUCCUUUUUGGGCUAAGCCAUGGAAACGGGGUCUACUACCGAAUUAAGGGGGAUGGGCUCGGGGCCUAUCAGCUUGUUGGUGGGGUGAUGGCGUACCAAGGCGGUGACGGGUAGCCGGCCUGUGAGGGUGACCUGCAACAUAGGUACGGAGAAACGGCCGAGACGCCUACGGGGGGGAGCAGUGGGGAAUAUUGCACAAUGGGCGAAGGACUGAUGCAGCGACGCCGCAUGGGGGAUGAAGGCUUUCGGGUUGUAAACCUCUUUCGCUAGCGAACGGGUAGGUGGAGAAGAAGCACCGGCUAACUACGUGCCAGCAGCCGCGGUAAUAC